AUGAACGCUGGCGGCGUGCUUAACACAUGCAAGUCGAACGAAACACCUUAUUUGAUUUUCUUCGGAACUGAAGAUUUGGUGAUUGAGUGGCGGACGGGUGAGUAACACGUGGGUAACCUGCCCUGUACAGGGGGAUAACAGUCAGAAAUGACUGCUAAUACCGCAUAAGACCACAGCACCGCAUGGUGCAGGGGUAAAAACUCCGGUGGUACAGGAUGGACCCGCGUCUGAUUAGCUGGUUGGUGAGGUAACGGCUCACCAAGGCGACGAUCAGUAGCCGGCUUGAGAGAGUGAACGGCCACAUUGGGACUGAGACACGGCCCAAACUCCUACGGGAGGCAGCAGUGGGGAAUAUUGCACAAUGGGGGAAACCCUGAUGCAGCGACGCCGCGUGAGUGAAGAAGUAUCUCGGUAUGUAAAGCUCUAUCAGCAGGGAAGAAAAUGACGGUACCUGACUAAGAAGCCCCGGCUAACUACGUGCCAGCAGCCGCGGUAAUACGUAGGGGGCAAGCGUUAUCCGGAAUUACUGGGUGUAAAGGGUGCGUAGGUGGUAUGGCAAGUCAGAAGUGAAAACCCAGGGCUUAACUCUGGGACUGCUUUUGAAACUGUCAGACUGGAGUGCAGGAGAGGUAAGCGGAAUUCCUAGUGUAGCGGUGAAAUGCGUAGAUAUUAGGAGGAACAUCAGUGGCGAAGGCGGCUUACUGGACUGAAACUGACACUGAGGCACGAAAGCGUGGGGAGCAAACAGGAUUAGAUACCCUGGUAGUCCACGCCGUAAACGAUGAUCACUAGGUGUGGGGAGUUGAACCUUUCCGUGCCGGAGUUAACACAAUAAGUGAUCCACCUGGGGAGUACGACCGCAAGGUUGAAACUCAAAGGAAUUGACGGGGGCCCGCACAAGCAGUGGAGUAUGUGGUUUAAUUCGAAGCAACGCGAAGAACCUUACCAGGUCUUGACAUCCAACUAACGAAGUAGAGAUACAUUAGGUGCCCUUCGGGGAAAGUUGAGACAGGUGGUGCAUGGUUGUCGUCAGCUCGUGUCGUGAGAUGUUGGGUUAAGUCCCGCAACGAGCGCAACCCCUAUCUUUAGUAGCCAGCAUAUAAGGUGGGCACUCUAGAGAGACUGCCAGGGAUAACCUGGAGGAAGGUGGGGACGACGUCAAAUCAUCAUGCCCCUUAUGACCAGGGCUACACACGUGCUACAAUGGCGUAAACAGAGGGAAGCAGCCUCGUGAGAGUGAGCAAAUCCCAAAAAUAACGUCUCAGUUCGGAUUGUAGUCUGCAACUCGACUACAUGAAGCUGGAAUCGCUAGUAAUCGCGAAUCAGAAUGUCGCGGUGAAUACGUUCCCGGGUCUUGUACACACCGCCCGUCACACCAUGGGAGUCAGUAACGCCCGAAGUCAGUGACCCAACCGUAAGGAGGGAGCUGCCGAAGGCGGGACCGAUAACUGGGGUG
rnacentral:rRNA from 1 species